rnacentral:rRNA from 1 species
CACGUAGGGGACGAGCGUUGUCCGGAUUCAUUGGGCGUAAAGCGCGCGUAGGCGGCUCGGAAAGUCGGUCGUGAAAUGCCGGGGCUCAACCCCGGGACUGCGUCCGAUACUUCCGGGCUGGAGGUAGGUAGGGGAGAUCGGAAUUCCUGGUGUAGCGGUGAAAUGCGUAGAUAUCUGGAGGAACACCGGUGGCGAAGGCGGCAUCCUGGACCGGCAUUGACGCUGAGGCGCGAAAGCCAGGGGAGCAAACGGG